rnacentral:ribozyme from 15 species
AUAAAAAAAGAUGCAGUAAGGGCGCAGUCUUCGUCUCAUAUCUUUACUCCUUUUUCUUCCCUUUUUGUUUCGCUUCCCUUCUCUUCGCAUUUUUGCUUUUUUU